rnacentral:rRNA from 1 species
ACGCUCGACACCUACGUGAGGCAGCAGUGGGGAAUAUUGCACAAUGGGGGAAACCCUGAUGCAGCGACGCCGCGUGAGCGAAGAAGUAUUUCGGUAUGUAAAGCUCUAUCAGCAGGGAAGAUAAUGACGGUACCUGACUAAGAAGCUCCGGCUAAAUACGUGCCAGCAGCCGCGGUAAUCUGAGCGGGCUGGCAAGGC